AUUGAACGCUGGCGGCAUGCCUUACACAUGCAAGUCGAACGGUAACGCGGGGGCAACCCUGGCGACGAGUGGCGAACGGGUGAGUAAUACAUCGGAACGUACCCAGUAGUGGGGGAUAGCUCGGCGAAAGCCGGAUUAAUACCGCAUACGACCUAUGGGUGAAAGCGGGGGAUCGCAAGACCUCGCGCUAUUGGAGCGGCCGAUGUCGGAUUAGCUAGUUGGUGAGGUAAAGGCNCACCAAGGCUACGAUCCGUAGCUGGUCUGAGAGGACGACCAGCCACACUGGGACUGAGACACGGCCCAGACUCCUACGGGAGGCAGCAGUGGGGAAUUUUGGACAAUGGGCGAAAGCCUGAUCCAGCCAUGCCGCGUGUGUGAAGAAGGCCUCGGUGUAAG
rnacentral:rRNA from 1 species